rnacentral:rRNA from 1 species
ACGAACGCUAGCGGCGCGCCUAAUGCAUGCAAGUCGAACGGUUCCCACGGUCUUCGGACUGUGGGGAUAGUGGCGAACGGCUGAGUAACACGUAAGGGACCUGACCCUGGGAGGGGGAUAACCCAUCGAAAGGCGGGCUAAUACCCCGUACGCUGGCUUCCUGACAUGGGGAGUUAGGAAAGUCCCGGUGCAAAUCGGGGUGCCCAGGGAGGGUCUUGCGUCCUAUCAGGUAGUUGGCGGGGUAACGGCCCACCAAGCCUAAGACGGGUAACCGGUGUGAGAGCAUGGACGGUCAGAGGGGGACUGAGAUACGGCCCCCACUCCUACGGGAGGCAGCAGCAGGGAAUUUUGCGCAAUGGGCGAAAGCCUGACGCAGCGACGCCGCGUGGGGGAAGAAGGCCUUCGGGUCGUAAACUCCUUUUCUGGGGGAAUAGAGCGGAAGGUACCUCAGGAAUAAGCCCCGGCUAACUACGU